GUCAGCUCGUGUCGUGAGAUGUUGGGUUAAGUCCCGCAACGAGCGCAACCCUUAUCCUUAGUAGCCAGCACGUGAAGGUGGGCACUCUAGGGAGACUGCCAGGGAUAACCUGGAGGAAGGUGGGGAUGACGUCAAAUCAUCAUGCCCCUUAUGAUUUGGGCUACACACGUGCUACAAUGGCGUAAACAAAGGGAAGCGAGACAGUGAUGUGGAGCAAAUCCCAAAAAUAACGUCCCAGUUCGGACUGUAGUCUGCAACCCGACUACACGAAGCUGGAAUCGCUAGUAAUCGCGAAUCAGAAUGUCGCGGUGAAUACGUUCCCGGGUCUUGUACACACCGCCCGUCACACCAUGGGAGUCAGCAACGCCCGAAGUCAGUGACCCAACCGAAAGGAGGGAGCUGCCGAAGGCGGGGCAGGUAACUGGGGUGAAGUCGUAACAAGGUAGCCGUAUCGGAAGGUGCGGCUGGAUCACCUCCUUUCUAAGGAA
rnacentral:rRNA from 1 species